rnacentral:misc_RNA from 1 species
CACGCCAAGCUGUUAUCAAGUUCAUAUACACUUAAUAAAUAAGUAGUCAGCGACCAAUGGGAUCUGGUCGUUGAUGCUGGAAAAAAUGUGGCGCAGCCUCUGUUAGCCAAGAAGGAUCGAUGGUUAUUACAUUUCGCAUGUAUUGUCGAUCAGUGGAGACUAGAGACUGGUAAAUAACCCACUUUGGAUUUACUCUGAACAACACAGAUGAAGGAUGAAUAUAGACCUCUUGAGAGCCUCUAACAGUCUUGUACAUCCCGUUAUGACUGUAUGCUUCUAAAUU